ensembl:lncRNA
UAUUUAUAUUUAACAUAUUAAAUAUUUUAAAUAAUGAUUUUGAAUUUAUUUUUAAAUACUUAUAUUUUCUCAGCCCACCUACCUGUCUGAGCUGCUUUACACCUACUUAUGAGCGGUCACAUGAAGGUCAACUUGAGAAAUUACCCCAGACUUUAUCAAUCAAUAGCUAAGAGUGUGUUUACAUGAAAGAGGCAGAGUUCCCAUGUUUAUAAUUCUGACCAAUCAGAAACAGACACAGGUCUAUUGUCAGCAGAGCCGCUGAUUUUCUGAAGAUGAUUAAACAUGUCAGAGGUUAGACACAGACUAAGCAGCAGCUAUAACAGAAGGGUACAUAUUACUAAUCUGUUUUCUGUUUGAGUGUGUGUGUGUGUGUGUGUGUGUGUGUGUGUGUGUGUGUGUGUGUGUGUGUUUAGCUCAUACAGAAAUCAAAGUGAAGCCUGGACAAGAGGCCACCUUUCACUGUGCGUGUCCAGAGCUGCAGCCAUCACCCUGCUGGAGUGGAGCAGACACGGCCUCGAUUCUUUGUUCUAUCGUAACUCGUUUCAAAGAUACCAGCCUGAGUCCUUUGGAGACCGAGUGGAGUUGAAGGAUGGAGACCUCACUUUGAUUCUGAAGAACGUCACCAUCAACGAUAACGGCACGUACAAGUGUCGGAUUGUGUUCAGGAACAAAAACAGCACAGAGAGACUGUUCAGGGGCAUUAAGUGCUUCAUCAACCUCACAGUGACGGCCUCGGACCACACAAAUGUCAAAGUGAGGUCUGGACAAGAUGUCACUCUUCAGUGUCGGGGACCCACAGAUGCAGAUAUCACAGCAUUAGAGUGGAGCAGACCUGAGCUCGUGUCAGAGGGUUAUGUGUUCUUCUUCCAAAACCAGCACUCAGAUGAGAACUAUCAGCACGAGUCCAUCAAAGGCCGAGUGGAGCUGAGAGACUCAUCCACGAAGGACGGAGACGUUUCCAUCAUUCUAAGGAACAUCAGCAUCAGCGAUACAGGAAUAUAUGAAUGUAAGAUUACAACCAAUCACACCAUCUAUGGUGAGAGAGUCAUCAAGGAGUUCAGACACUCCAUCAACCUCACAGUCACAGACUCAGGUGAGCUUAUAGAGUUGACGGGCCUAAGAGUUUUCCUUCCCACUGUCGCCAAGUGCUUGCUCAUAGGGGUCGUCUGCUCUGCAAAAAUGCAAUAUGGCGCUUUAUGUAAACUUUGCAGCAUCGCUGCAAACUAACCCCAAAAAUAAAAGCAUGGAUUCAGGAGCUACCGCAGUUCAGCAUCAAAUUCAGGCCAAAUCAAUCGUUAAUAUGAUUUUCAUGAUCAUCUUGUUUGUCUUAAUGUUCUUAUGAUUCAAAGAAACAUCCAGCAGCUGUGAGAUCGGCUG